GUGAGGAAUAUUGCGCAAUGGAGGCAACUCUGACGCAGCCAUGCCGCGUGCAGGAAGAAGGCGCUACGCGUUGUAAACUGCUUUUAACCGGGAAGAAACCCCAGGACGUGUCCUGGGUUGACGGUACCGGAGGAAUAAGCACCGGCUAACUUCGUGCCAGCAGCCGCGGUAAUACGAAGGGUGCAAGCGUUAUCCGGAUUCAUUGGGUUUAAAGGGUGCGUAGGCGGAGCGUUAAGUCAGUGGUGAAAUCCUGCAGCUUAACUGUAGACUUGCCAUUGAUACUGGCGCUCUUGAGUGUGCUUGAAGUGGGCGGAAUGUGCCGUGUAGCGGUGAAAUGCUUAGAUAUGGCACAGAACACCAAUUGCGAAGGCAGCUCACUAAGGCGAUACUGACGCUGAGGCACGAAAGCGUGGGGAUCGAACAGGAUUAGAUACCCGGGUAGUCC
rnacentral:rRNA from 1 species